AGCUUUGGUGGACAUAAAGUCGAUGAGGUUACUAAAAUUAUUUUGAAAAAAUUACUAUCAAAUAAAUUAGCUGGCAACUACAGUUGGUUGGGAGCGAAAAAGAAAAUGUCAUUCAGUGGAUUACAGAUAGCAGAAGUUAUUUUAUCUGCUGUAAAACGAAAUAAAUCUUUGGUUGGUGCUACAGAAAAAGAUGUGAUUGAUUCAAUUAAGAAUUGGUUAAGACAUGCUGCUGCAAGAUAUUCAAAUCAAUGCAAGAAGAAUCAGAAUCAAGAAAUACAAUGAAGUGUAUAAGUUACAGAUUCGUAAAAUAAAGAUUGCUAUAAUCAGAAA